rnacentral:rRNA from 1 species
UACAGAGGGUGCGAGCGUUGUCCGGAAUCACUGGGCGUAAAGGGCGCGUAGGUGGCGCUGCAAGUCGGUGGUGAAAGCUCGUCGCUUAACGGCGAGUCGGCCAUCGAAACUGCAGGGCUGGAGCACUGUAGGGGCAGAUGGAAUUCCGGGUGUAGCGGUGGAAUGCGUAGAGAUCGGAAAGAACACCAACGGCGAAAGCACUCUGCUGGGCCGACACUGACACUGAGAGACGAAAGCUAGGGGAGCGAAUGGG